CUGCCAUUCUCAGUAGUUUCCCAACAAGGUUGUCUAAACUUGGUGGUAAUACAGUCUGCUGCCAUUCUCAGUAGUUUCCCAACAAGGUUGUCUGUACCUGGUGGUAAUACAGUCUGCUGCCAUUCUCAGUAGUUUCCCAACAAGGUUGUCUAAACUUGGUGGUAAUACAGUCUGCUGCCAUUCUCAGUAGUUUCCCAACAAGGUUGUCUAAACUUGGUGGUAAUACAGUCUGCUGCCAUUCUCAGUAGUUUCCCAACAAGGUUGUCUAAACUUGGUGGUAAUACAGUCUGCUGCCAUUCUCAGUAGUUUCCCAACAAGGUUGUCUGUACCUGGUGGUAAUAGUCUGCUGCCAUUCUCAGUAGUUUCCCAACAAGGUUGUCUGUACCUGGUGGUAAUAGUCUG